AUUUCGCUUAACCCCGUAACGACUUCUCGUUUAACACGAGAGAGUUCACAACGGUCACGAGACCUAAGUGUGAGCUAACAUGUUGGCUCCCUCCCUAGUUUUCUUUUUAGAAAUUUCUAGAGAUUAAAACUAGGGAGGGAUGAAGGUAUAGUCUGAUACCCCGAGUGAUCGGGGAAAACGAUAUGACGGUCCAUACACCUACGGGUGGCCGCAGUCGAGAAUCUUCCGCAAUGGGCGAAAGCCUGACGGAGCGACGCCGCGUGCAGGAUGACGUACUUCGGUAUGUAAACUGCUUUUGUAGACUAGAAAAUUAUUGAUCAGUCUAAGAAUAAGAGGUUGCUAAACUCGUGCCAGCAGCAGCGGUAAUACGAGUGCCUCAAGCGUUAUCCGGAAUCAUUGGGCGUAAAGGGUGUGUAGGCGGUCGUGUUAGUCUUUCGUGAAAUUCUUCGGCUUAACCGGGGGUCCGCGGGGGAAACGGCACGACUAGAGGAUGCGAGAGGUGAAUGGAACUCAUAGUGUAGGGGUGAAAUCCGUUGAUAUUAUGGGGAACACCAAAAGCGAAGGCAAUUCACUGGCGCACUCCUGACGCUGAAACACGAAAGCGUGGGUAGCGAAUGGGAUCGAUGAUAGUUUUUAAGUUAUAAGUUUAAAAGUUUAUAAGUUAAAAAGUAUUGCACCGCGAGGGGUCGCGGUAGGUUCCCCAAGUUGUUUUUAGACAGCUUGGAAAAAAUUUGGCUGUAUGCUGGAAAAACCGAGCAUCCAACAAUACCGAAAGGUAAAAAUUUGUUGGUGCGGUCAAUCAGCAGGGAAGUUCCACAAGGAACCCCUCAGAGACUAUACGCCAAACCCUAAAUCACUUUGCCUAUUGGCAAAUGAUCGGGAAGAUAUAGUCCGAACUGCAUGGCGACAUGCAGAGACAGGCAGAAAUGUCCUGUCCAACUUGUACACUUUGUUGAGAGAAAAUAAAAAGAAAGGAGAAGAAAUGAACACGCCGGUAGUUAAAAUCUU
rnacentral:rRNA from 1 species